rnacentral:rRNA from 1 species
UUGAACGCUGGCGGAAUGCUUUACACAUGCAAGUCGAACGGCAGCACGGGGGCAACCCUGGUGGCGAGUGGCGAACGGGUGAGUAAUACCUAGGAACAUGUCCAGUAGUGGGGGAUAACGCAGCGAAAGAUGUGCUAAUACCGCAUACGACCUGAGGGUGAAAGCGGGGGAUCGCAAGACCUCGCGCGACAGGAGCGGCCGAUAUCGGAUUAGCUAGUUGGUGAGGUAAAGGCUCACCAAGGCGACGAUCCGUAGCUGGUCUGAGAGGACGACCAGCCACACUGGAACUGAGACACGGUCCAGACUCCUACGGGAGGCAGCAGUGGGGAAUUUUGGACAAUGGGGGCAACCCUGAUCCAGCCAUUCCGCGUGAGUGAAGAAGGCCUUCGGGUUGUAAAACUCUUUCGGCAGGAACGAAACGGUGAGCUCUAACAUAGCUUGCUAAUGACGGUACCUGAAGAAGAAGCACCGGCUAACUACGU